rnacentral:rRNA from 1 species
GACGAACGCUGGCGGCGUGCUUAACACAUGCAAGUCGAACGGAAAGGCCCUGCUUUUGUGGGGUGCUCGAGUGGCGAACGGGUGAGUAACACGUGAGUAACCUGCCCUUGACUUUGGGAUAACUUCAGGAAACUGGGGCUAAUACCGGAUAGGAGCUCCUGCUGCAUGGUGGGGGUUGGAAAGUUUCUGCGGUUGGGGAUGGACUCGCGGCUUAUCAGCUUGUUGGUGGGGUAGUGGCUUACCAAGGCUUUGACGGGUAGCCGGCCUGAGAGGGUGACCGGCCACAUUGGGGCUGAGAGACGGCCCAGACUGCUACGGGAGGCAGCAGUGGGGAAUAUUGCACAAUGGGCGGAAGCCUGAUGCAGCAACGCAGCGUGCGGGAUGACGGCCUUCGGGUUGUAAACCGCUUUCGCCUGUGACGAAGCGUGAGUGACGGUAAUGGGUAAAGAAGCACCGGCUAACUACGUG